GAGCUGACUCUGCGAGCGCCCUCUGACAUCCUUGGCCAAGCCGGGCGCCCCCGGCAGCCCCUCGGGCCCACCUGUGCCCUCCUUCCCCGGGGCUCGCCCGCCCCCGCCGCUGGACGGCCGCCCCUCCCCCGAGGCGUGGCCCCUCCGCCCGAGGUGGGCAGGGUAGCCGGAGCCGGGGGCCAACCGGCUUUUUCCUUCCUUCCCUCCCGCUCCGGCUCCCGCCCGCCGGCUCCGGGACCGCAGCCACGUCUGAAAGCGCCUCAUUGUGCGCGCUCCGCUCGGGCCGGCAGCGCAGAGCAGCGCCGCGGGCCCCCGGCGGCCGCCCAGGUAGCGCGGGGCGCGGGGCCGGGCACCCAGGGGGCUCCGGGGCAGGAGGGCCCGAGUCUGUUUCUUGUCCUUGCCCUGGGACUGCUCCGCCAACAUCGCCUUCUUACGACACCUCUCUUUUUUCAGGGGGAAUCCUGCCCUGUUUGCUGGUUCCCGCCGCCUUGGGUCUCCAGGUGCCUCCAAUAUCUUGGUAUCCGCUUCGCAAGUCCAUGUCUCUUGGAGCCGUCUCCCUGGUGUCACUGGGUGCCCCUUCAUAGCCUUGGGACCCUGCGGAACAAAUCAGCCGCAGCGGACUCUCCCGGCGAGGAGACAGAGCGGCUGUGGAGAGGAGCUUGGAAAAGACGUCCUGGAGCCUUUGCUGAGACUGGGACCAGAGGCGUCUGCCUCCCGCCGCGCCAGUCGGACUGGGACGCCUCGCUUGGGGCCCUGAAAAACCUCCAGGCAUCUCCCAUGGAUCUGUGACCGAGGUGGGCAGCUCUCUCAGCAGCCCUGGACAGCAGUGAGUAACCUCAGCAUGGAAAGGGGUCUGACUCUGCCCUCAUCUCUCCCUUUCUCUGUCUCCAUCCUACCUCUCCCUUAACUGGUUUCUUCUGCAAAAUUACACAAAUCCAGAAGGAUAUCCUCCCUUGGGAAUCCUGCAGCACUUCACUCUCCAUGGGUGAGAGCAACAGUUGCUGUUCUUUGUCUAUAUGUUUAUUUUUAAUAACAAAAGUUGUAUCUGCUUGUUUAAAAAGUCAAACAAUGCAGAAGCACACUACGUAGAAAGUGCAAGUUUUCAGUUAUGAGAAAUGCCCCACCCCUCCAUGCUCAUCCCAAUACUCCAGAACCAGAAUUAAUCCCCUUUUUACAGAUGGGUAAACUGAGUUACAGAGAGAUGAAGCGUUUGGUCCAAGAUCAUAGGCUAGGAAGUGGCGGAGCCAGGGAGGGUUCUGCCAAAUCACCCAUCAAGUUAUUUAGCUAAACUACCUACAACUUUUCCCCUAAAAGGAAUUUUAAGUGAAAAGCAGGAAUUCUGUUUUAAAUAUAUUUCCCCCUCUGGAUAGAAAGAAAAGGGGGCGUGGGGAGAGAAAGAGAGAAAAGGGAAAAAACACUGCCCCAUAGUAUUGUGCAACUGGCCUUU
rnacentral:lncRNA from 1 species